AGUAGUUGCCCAAAGAUGUAGUUAGAAGUGAAAGCGCACUACAUAAACUCCGCAUGGCAUCAGGGGAUUGAUCAUAGAAGAACUCAAGCUGUCCGAUAAAUGUGCAAACCUCUGCAGCACCCAGCAAGAAAUAUUGAGGUAUUUGCCAAAGAAUAUUAAUGGGUACGGCAACUUGUUUAUCAACCAAAUCUAGCUCUUUUGCGAGCUGCAAUCUCUUGAUCUCCACCAAAGCUGCGGCUGACAUGCAUAGGACUGAAAUAAAGAGACCAAUUCCCAUACGUUGCAACUCUGAGAAGCCACGCUCUUUACGUGUGAACUUUCUUGCAAUUGGAACAAUGAUCUUAUCAUAGAUGGGAACCCAAAAAAUAACACUGAUAACAUCAAAAGACGAGAGAGAAGCAGGAGGAAUAGUGAAAGAACCGAUUUUUGUGUCCAUCAUCAUCCCUUGUUCCACAAACAUAGUUGACAUUUGGGCAUAUACGGCAGAGAACACAAUUCCAGUAGCCCAUAUGGGAAACAUGCGGAUCAAGAUUUUCAAUUCCUCCACUUGUGUUACAGUGCAAAGCCUCCAAGGGUUUGAGAAGUCCCCACUUUUGGUUUCGGCAUCAGUGACUAUGGCAGCGUUAUCUAGGCACCUACAACAAGAUGCUCCCAAUUUAACCAUCUUUCUAUACAUAAAUAUGCAUGGGUAAACACUAGUGUGUCUAAUAAAAUAACUAGAUAAUUACACGUGAUGUGUCACGUGUACAUCAUGUUGACGUUCAAGGAUCAAUUUUAGUAAAACGGAUGGAAAAGAAGGAGCUGGCUCCUAGUACAAGGACCUCUAUGGUACUUAUACCCAAUUCCUUGUACUACAUUAAUUUUGCCUAAAGUGAUAAAGAAUUCUCAAUUUCAUAGGCUUUCACACAAAUGAGACACAGAGAUCGAUCAUUCAAAACUUAAGAGAAUUAAUUAAGAAAACUUACUUCAACUCUUCACUGUGCUCCAGUUUCCGACUUCCUUCUAUGGCAGAGUGGUUGUCACCAGUUUCAUAUAGGAGACUACUAUCUUCAGGAACCUUGAGGUUCCGUUUAUGAAAUGCUGCAACCAUAACCUGGCACAUUCUUGUAAUAGGGCUUCCUCCAGGUCGUUGAAAUCUAUAAAGAGAUGUACCUGAGAAAAAACUUCCGAUUGCAAGGCCCAUAAAUAAUGCUGGAAUGCCAAAUCCGAGACCCCAUCCAGCAUUGUCUUGAAUCCACACUAAAAGACUGCUUGAGAUCAAAGCGCCAAUGUUGAUGGAAAAAUAGAACCAAUUGAAAAAGGACCCUUUCUUCACCCUUUCUUUGGGAUCAGUAUCAUCAAACUGAUCGGCCCCAAAAGAUGAAACACACGGUUUGAUUCCACCCGUCCCUAAUGCAAUCAGAUAAAGCCCAAAGAAAAAUACAACAUACUGAGCUGGAGUAGCUGAGGGACAAAUAGAACCCACACAUUCAGCAGGUUUCAGUGCAGGAAUUGAUGCCGAGAGUGUUAAUGUACACAUUCCCUAUAUCAAAUACUAAAUGUGUUACUCAAUGCAUCAAAAAGCGAAAUCAAACUGUAUAAUUAAGUUGCUCGCUUUACCUUAAUAUAAGUACUAGAAUUCAUUAGUCAAUAAUAUGAUUAAAAUGAUGACAAAUUGAUGUCCUCACACCUCACAUAGCCAAAUAUGUUAUUACUCUAUGAAACCUUCUUUAAAUCUUCGAAAAGGAGUCAAAGUGUUUCCUCUAUGAUUUAAACACAAAAGAUACUCACUAAAACUACUAACAACAAAAGAGGAGAACCAUGCAUGAAUUUAAAUCGCAUGUGAAGGACCAUGUAAAGAAAAUCAGGGAUUAAAAGUACCAUGAAAGCCCUUGUGCUAGGAGCUGGAUUGCAUUUUGCCCCCUCUACUUAAAAAAGGGACAAAUAAUUCCUAAACCCUAUUUGUUAACAUGAGGUACAAGUGGCACGGCAUGUCUCACUAUUUAGUUAUUCUGUCAGCCAUGCUAGUGUUUAACAUAGAAAUGAAUGAAAUUUUGAACAGAAAUAACCACUUUGAUUUUUUAUCUAAUGUACAAGGACUAAAUUAUCCAUUUUUUAGUAGAGGGGGAAAAAUGUAAUUUGACACCUAGUAUAGGGACCUCAAUAUUAUUUUUAUCAAAAUCAGGGUUAAUGGCAUAAUGAAAACAAACAACAGCCAAAGACUCUACUGCAGUUGAAUGCAAGAUCAACUUCAUGAUAAGUACUUAAAAAAACUAAUUAAAGCAUAAAACAAUAACAUCUAAAGCAAAAAAUAAAAAUAGUAGUUAAGAGUAAAUUAUAUUACAAUGAAGUAAAUAGUGGAGAAAGCAGCAAUUGUCCAAUAUCUUCCCCAAUAUGCAUCUGCUAAAACAGCUCCAAUGAGAGGUGUAACGUAACAAGUUCCUUGCCAAGUAGUCACAUUCCUUGCAGCUGAUGCAUUUCCUUCAUGUAGUUUCUUGGUCAAGUAACUUACAAGAUUAGUUGCUAUCCCAUAAUAAGCCAAUCUCUCACAACAUUCAUUACCUAUAAUUCCAUAUAAGAAAAUUGCAGAAAUAAGAUAAGCUUUACUCGAAUAAAAGCAAAACUCAUUUAAAUGAAGAGAAAAUAGAUAAAUUUAUAAUAAUUCACCCAAAAUGAAAGGGCAUGCUUUCCAAUUUCCAGUAUUUUGCUUCAAAACAGGAUUCCCAUUAAAGUCAACAGAGCCAUCCCCAGUGUAAAGCCCACUGUUUUCAGCCUAGAAAUACAAAAUAUUGAAACAUCAAAUAACAUAACCUCCAAGUUAAAGAAUUUUAACAAGAAAAAACAACAAACCCAGAAUUUUUUUCAGUGUUAAAAGGUGUCUUUGAACAAAUUAUCAAAAUCUUAUGACCACCAAAAAUAAAAGAUCAAAGGGGGAAAAUUACCCGAUCAAGUUCAGCUUCCAACAGCGACCUCUCUUCAUCGACAGAUCCCAUGAUUGUAUUGCAAUUGAACCAGUCAAAGACUACAGAUUCAAAAUCCCCAAAUUGUAGGGCAAAGAAAUAUUAUAAUUGGUGAUGAAAACGCUGGGUAUUAUUUAUUUAUUUGUGAGCCUUAUAAAAUCGUUAGAUACUUAAUGUCAAGCGUCCUUUGGAAAUUGCUAUUUUUUUUUUUUGGGUAAAAAGGAAAGAUGAAUUACUGCAUAAAACAACCAUUUCGUGUAAUAAAUCUAUUAGGAAAUUGGAAUCUUUGAACAAAAGAAAAUAUAUAGAAAAAGAAGUACUUUUAGAAUCCUUUAGCUUAUUAGAUAUUAAGAGAAGCUAAAGCACUGGAAUGUUGGGGGGAAUCCUAGCACGUUUCCCUAUCUAUAUAAGGCAGCAAAUAGACCUCAUCCUAAGUCGGGCUAUUUUUUUAAGUUUGAAAGCCUAUUCAAAAAAUAAUAAGGUUUAGGUUUAAAAUAUAAAUCUAAAAAUAAGUUUAGACAAAAAAAAAAACAUCUUUUUUUAAAUAGGUCGAGUUUAGGUUAAAAUUUUUUUAGUCGGUCUAGCCCGAAUUUACCUAAUUUUUUUCAUUAUUGUUUUGUUGUUAUUUUUUUAUUAUACUGCUAAUAUUUUGUUAUUAUUAUUUGAAUAUUAUAUAACUCUUAUUUUAUUGUUAAUUUUGCUAUUAUUUUAGAAGUAUUUACUUGUUAAGUUGUAAUUAUCUUAGAGUUAUUUAAGUAUAAUUUUUUAUUAUAUUUUCAAUUUGUUGCGAAAUAUUUAUUUGAAUAAUUUUAGUAUAUUUGAUAUAUUAUAUUUUAUAUAAAAUAUUUUUUAAAAUUGUUUUUAUAUAAAAUAUAAUAUUAAAAAUGUUAAUAUGGGAUGGGUCGGACUCAAGUUUAGUAUUUUUUAUAUGGGUCAAGCUCGAGUAGAAUUAUAGGCCCAUUUUUCGAGUUAAGCCAGACCGACCCUAGAAAACUGGUCCAGAAUUUUGUAUUGGCCCAACCCAUUAUCAGGUCUAGUGAUAAGGAUUUUUAAUUCACAUAUAGGUCUUUAAAGGUCGGGUCGAGUUUGGGUUGGGCUUAAGCAUGAUAUUAAUAUAUUUUAUAUUUACUUAAAUUCGGUUUAACUAGAAAUAUGGACCUAAAAUUUUACUUAAACCUAUUGUAAAUGGUUAAUCCAAACCUAUUUUAGGCUUGUACAUAUUUACAAUUUUUUAAAAUAUUUAUUUAUAUUAUUUCAAUUUAAUAUUUAAUAAUAAUAUUUUAUGUAUUAAAAUUUUAUAUAUAAACAUCUUAAAUUUUUUUAAUGUUUGCAUUAUAGUAUUAUUAUAUAUUACAAUAGAUUUAAUUUUUAUGUGUUAUAAAUUAUAUAAUAUAUACAAAUAAUAUAAUACAUCCAUCCUCAACACAUGAAAUACGUAUGAUAUUAAAAAAAGAUUAAAUUGUAAGUUAAUUAAAAUUUAAAUACAUAAAUACAUCGGAUAAAAAAUAUUAAAUUAAUACAUUAAUCUUAAAUUGGUGCCGAGCUAAUUUGUGAUAUGAAAUCAAUCAACACCAUUGUUAAUAAAUACAACUAAUGGAAGUAAUAAAGUUUGCAUAAUAAAAUUAAAAUGUAUGAAAAUAUCAAAAUAAAAAAGAGUAAAUUGGUUCUUUUCUAUUAAAAUUUUUAUAUAUUUAUAUUGUUAAAAACUAAUGUGACUGACGGAAUAAACAAAUAAUUAAAUUUGGUAUGCCACGUGUAGCUCAUGUUAACAUAUAGAAACCAAUUUUAAAAAUAAAAAUGAAUAAGUUGUUAACAGAAAGACUAAUUGUAUAUAAAUUACUUAGACCAUUUUUUAAAUAGAAAAGAUAAAAUGCUUUUACAAUCAUGAAAACAAGGAAGUCAAAGCAUUUUAAAUACAUUUCCUUGCUCUCUUUCCAUUUGAUCUUUCAGAAUAUUUCUUAGAACUGGUUAAAUUAGUUGUACAAAUCUUUGCUUUUAGAGAAUGAACAUAAAAUCAAUUCAAGCGUAUAUGUGUGAACAAAUCAAAGCAUCCAACCACAAGAAUUUUCUUUCACAUAAACCUCAAUUAGUUAAUUAAAGAAGUUUGGAACAGUACCUUGAUCUCUCCUUUCAACUUGCUUGAAAUCCCGCUUAAGCUCCUUCUAUUGCUUAGAUUUUUGAAGCUCAAAGCUGUAAAGCAUAAACAGAGAAAUUCGAAACUGAUUUGAAUUUUUUUUGAAACUGAGAAAGCGUAAACAGAAAUUUAGAGAUGGGCGUUGAAGUCACCUCGGGCUGCGCGAAGGAGAUGAGAUUGGGUGUUUGAAUUGUGAAUAUAGUUGCCGGUAGAUCUGAUAAUGGGCUAUGGGGUCGGAUUUGGGUCGGAUUAAUGUAAAUUUUUAGAUUUAUUUUUUAAGUUCAUGUCCGGCUUAAUUUGGCCUGAAAUUAAAUUUAAAAUUUUGUCUAAAUUUAACUUUGAUUAAAAAGGUUAAGUUCGAGCUGUAAUCGUCUAUAUUAAAUUUUUUAGAUUAAUUUGUUCUAUAAAGAAAAUUUUAAAAAUACAAUGUAUUAGACUUAAAACAUUAAAAUGAAAUGUUUUUCAAUAAAUUGAAAAUACAUUAAAAAUUAUAUAUAUUUAAAUAACUCUAAAAUAAUUACAACUUAGCAAGUAAAUGACUUUAAAAUAAUAACAAAAUUAAUAAUAAAAUAAGAACUUUACAAUAUUCAAAUAAUAGGAACAACAGUGAAAUGACAACAAAAUAAUUGAUUCGGGUUGGGUCAAGCUGGCCCAAGCCAAAAAAUCCUACUUGAGGCCCAUCCCAUUUAACAAAUUGACCUUAUUUUUGUUUAAAUUUAUUUUUCGAGCCUAUAUUUUUGUCCAAACCCUCCUCCUUUUCACGCAAGCGAGUGACUUGACCCAUGAUUAGGUCUAGUUGCGUUGGCAAGAGAUCAAAUUAAUUUUUGGGUAAAUUACACAAGAAGUCACUCAAUUAUGGUGAACUUUCUUUUUUAUCACUCAACUAUUAAAAAUUUAAAAUUGGUCACCCAACUAAUUAGAUUUGUCUAUUUUAGUUCUUUUCCAUUUAGUUCCAUUAAAUGUUUGAUUGAAAAAUGAGGUAGCAAUUUGAAAUUGUAUAAUAACAAAUAUAACUCCUAAUAUUUAUAUAUUGUCUCAAUCUAGUAAUGUCAUCUUCAUCGAUUUUCCAGUUCCCCUGGAAGAACUUUACGCUACACAAUUAUCACAACUCCAAGAAAUGGGUUUCUACGAUACACAAGAGAAUAUCAGAGCAUUAAGAGCUACUGCCGGAAAUGUCCAUGCUGCAGUCGGGAGUUUUCUGGGAAAUUCUGGGCAGUAGUAACUCCUUGAAACUUCAUGUUCUUUUUUUUCUUUUUUAAAUUUGACCAAGAAAAACUGUCUCAUGUAAGAUUAGUUGAUUUGGGUUGGUGCCUUAGCAAACCACAGAUUUAUGUUGCAUAUACAUUGUUGAUUCCUUGUUUUUGCCGUGUUUAAUAAGCAAGUAAACACGAUAAAUAUAUAUACCCGAGAACUUGUUGAUAUUUAGGCUUUUUAUGCAUACCUACCUCGGAUUUCUCCAUAUUUGGCACUUCCUUAUGUACAUACAUUUCGAGUUACUGUUCUCUUUUUUUUUAAGAACUUUUGAGUUACUGAAUCUGAUUCAAUUCGAUUCGAGUUGAUAUAAAAUAGUCCGAAAAAUUUGAGCUCAAAAACCUCUUUAAACAAACCAUACACCAGAAAAACAAAGCAAGCCAUUUUCAAAAGCACAGAAUUUCUAUCAAAAUUUUACAUUAUGAAGAAAUGAGAAGGUAUAUUGGUUGUUAAAAUGUAGAUAACAACCACAAAAUAAAAUGUAUAUUUUCACAUGAUUUUAUAGGACAAAUCUGUCAACAAAACACUACUAAGCUUCUAGCUUGGAUGUAGUUGUUAAGAAUGUAAAAAGUGCCCAACUCUUUUUAUAUAAAAAAGUAAGCAAAAACAAGAAAAAGCCUUUCAAAAGCCACUUUGAGUUGUUCCUAUAUACAUACACACACCAUGUUAGCUUUUUUGGGGUAUGCAAUGGAGCAAGGUAUUGAUAAGCAUGUUGAUCUACAGGGUUCAUCUGCAAUGAGGUUGGUCCCAAUGGCUACUUCAAUUCAUAUCUUAUAUAUGUAAACCCAAAAUGUAUAUAUAUAUUUUGGAUGAUUGGCAAAAUCACAGUUGUAACCGGUGGUGCAAGAGGGAUUGGAGCUGCCACAGCUAAAACUUUUUGUUGAAAAUGGGGCUUAUGUUGUUAUUGCUGAUAUAUUGGACGAACCAGGGACUAUGCUUGCCGACUCCAUAGGAGCUUGCUACAUUCAUUGUGAUGUACCCAAGGAAAGUAAUGCCGAAUCAGCUAUCCAACUUGCCAUCACAUGGAAAGGCAAACUAGACAUACUGUUUAGCAAUGCUGGCAUUGGAGGCAUUGCAAGAAGCAUAACCAGCCUUGACAUGGAGCAAGUGAAACAUCUGAUCUUAAUCAAUCUACUCGGUAAAGUACAUGCAAUCAAGCAUGCUGCACGAGCCAUGUUGAGAUGCAGUACAAAAGGUUCCAUCAUAUGUAAGUCGAGUUCCACAGGUAUCAUUGGAGGGCUAGCGUCUCACCCUUACUCUUUGUCGAAACCUGGUAUCAUCAGACUAAUGUGAACAGCAGCAUGCAAGUUAGGCGUGCAUGGGAUUCAUGUGAACUGCAUUUCUCCUCUUGCUGUCCCUACAGAUAUGCUCGUUAGUGGUUAUAGAAUUUUCAGGGGAAUGAAACAAUUCCCGAACAAGUGAAGACACUAGUCGGUGAAGAAGGGAUUUUAUUACGUGGGAAAGCUGCAACUGUUGAAGAUGUGGCCCAAACUGCAGUGUUCCUCGCCUCAGAUGACAACGGAUUCAUAACAGCGCAUGAUCUCGUUAUUGAUGGCGGAUAUACUUCUGCUAUUAGUUCAGAGUUUCAUCUGCAAGUAGUAAAGAAUUAGGACAAGAAACAAAAUAAACCAAGGACAAACUUACCUGAUAUGGAUUUUGGAGCUUUUAUUGCUGAAAACAUCUUCAAAUCAAACCAAAAUAGUUGUACUAAAUCGAAAAUAUUAUCAAAUAUUGAGAAUCAAUACAGAAAGCAAAGAUUAUUACUUUAAAGGGUUUCAUCCAACAGGAUGCAAACAGCUUAGUCCAACAUGGAAGGAUGGCAUAUAAUUGAAAACCAUGUUGUAUACAUGUACAAUAUGUGAGCAUCAGCUAAAAACAAUAAAAGUACCAUAGAUGCUCUUGCAUUAAGAGUUUUGCAUUUUACUCCCUUUACUAAAAAAAAUAGACAAAUUAACCUUCGUAAAAUAAAUUAAAGCACAAAUUGAUGAUUCUGUUAAAAAAUUCAUUAAUUUCUACAGUUUAACUAAUCUCUGUAUAUCAGCACAUGGCAGCCAUGUGUAACUGUUGUGUUAUUCUACAAGGCAUACCAAUUUUUAAUAGUAGAAAUGGAUGAAAUUUUUAACAAAAAAGACCUAUUUGUUUUUUGAUCUAACGUACAGAGACUAAUUUUUCCGUUUUCCGGGAGCAAAAUGCAAUCUAACUAGUAGGCCUCCAUAAUACUUUUACCACUAGAAACCGAAUAUAAUCCAAUAAGAUACAAGACGACAAUUGUUUCUCAAAGUGGAAGGCUGUCCUAGUAUUGAAAUGCAUGUAUUUUUUAUCUUUAAUAACAUCUUAGCUUAAGAAGGAACUUCAAGAAGCCUUCUUUUGCUUGUACUUGGCAGCACAUUGGGUAUAUAUCAACAUGUUUAAGAAGCCGAGACCGGCCAAGAGCCAGAAGAAAUAGUCGAGAUGACCCUCAUUAAGGUUGUCCGGUAUCCAACCAAUCUCGCCACCCUUUGUUGUGAAGUAAAUUACAAGGGUCAAAAUAAAAGAACUCAAGUAGUUGCCCAAAGAUAUAGUUAGAAGUGAAAGCGCACUACAUAAACUCCGCAUGGCAUCAGGGGAUUGAUCAUAGAAGAACUCAAGCUGUCCUAUAAAUGUGCAAACCUCUGCAGCACCGAACAAGAAAUAUUGAGGUAUUUGCCAAAGAAUAUUAAUGGGUACGGCGACUUGUUUAUCAACCAAAUCUAGCUCUUUUGCGAGCUGCAAUCUCUUGAUCUCCACCAAAGCUGCGGCUGACAUGCAUAGGACUGAAAUAAAGAGACCAAUUCCCAUACGUUGCAACUCUGAGAAGCCACGCUCUUUACGUGUGAACUUUCUUGCAAUUGGAACAAUUAUCUUAUCAUAGAUGGGAACCCAAAAAAUAACACUGAUAAUAUCAAAGACGAGAGAGAAGCAGGAGGAAUAGUGAAAGAACCGAUUUUUGUGUCCAUCAUCAUCCCUUGUUCCACAAAC
rnacentral:lncRNA from 1 species